CCUACGGGAGGCAGCAGUGAGGAAUAUUGGUCAAUGGGCGCGAGACUGAACCAGCCAAGUAGCGUGAAGGAUGACUGCCCUACGGGUUGUAAACUUCUUUUAUAAAGGAAUAAAGUGAGGCACGUGUGCCUUUUUGUAUGUACUUUAUGAAUAAGGAUCGGCUAACUCCGUGCCAGCAGCCGCGGUAAUACGGAGGAUCCGAGCGUUAUCCGGAUUUAUUGGGUUUAAAGGGAGCGUAGGUGGGUUGUUAAGUCAGUUGUGAAAGUUUGCGGCUCAACCGUAAAAUUGCAAUGGAUACUGGCAGUCUUGAGUACAGUUGAGGUAGGCGGAAUUCGUGGUGUAGCGGUGAAAUGCUUAGAUAUCACGAAGAACUCCGAUUGCGAAGGCAGCUUACUAAACUGCCACUGACAUUGAUGCUCGAAAGUGUGGGUAUCAAACAGGAUUAGAUACCCUUGUAGUC
rnacentral:rRNA from 1 species